rnacentral:rRNA from 1 species
AACGAACGCUGGCGGCAUGCCUAACACAUGCAAGUCGAACGAGACCUUCGGGUCUAGUGGCGCACGGGUGCGUAACGCGUGGGAACCUGCCCUUAGGUUCGGAAUAACUCCCCGAAAGGGGUGCUCAUACCGGAUAAUGUUUUCGGACCAAAGAUUUAUCGCCUUUGGAUGGGCCCGCGUUGGCUUAGCUAGUUGGUAGGGUAAAAGCCUACCAAGGCGACGAUCCAUAGCUGGUCUGAGAGGAUGAUCAGCCACACUGGGACUGAGACACGGCCCAGACUCCUACGGGAGGCAGCAGUGGGGAAUAUUGGACAAUGGGCGAAAGCCUGAUCCAGCAAUGCCGCGUGAGUGAUGAAGGCCUUAGGGUUGUAAAGCUCUUUUACCCGGGAUGAUAAUGACAGUACCGGGAGAAUAAGCUCCGGCUAACUCCGUG